GUGCUCACUUUGGAAUCACAUACACUAAAAUUGGAAUGAUACAGAGAAGAUUAACACAUUCUCUGUGCAAGUAGGACAUGUAAGUUUGUGACACAUUCCAUACUUUU